GUCGACGUACUUCAGUAUGUUUUAUACCAUAUACUUUAUUAGGAAUAUAACAAAGCAUACCCAAUAAUUAGGCAAUGCGAUUGUCGUAUUCAACAACAUCUUCUAUUUCACCAGCUUCAGGUUUUGACUAACACAUUCAACAGUAGGAUCAUUUCUAUAGGAAUCGUCACUCUUUGACUCUUCAAAAGAGCCACUGAAUCCAACUUGGUUGAUGAGCCCCAUAACCUUUGUACCCCAGAGUGAGGAAAUGAAAUCGAAUUUAAAUUAGCUUGGUCCGCAAUCCUUAGCGGUUCGGCCAUCUAUAAUUUUGAAUAAAAUUUAAUAAAAUUUUGCUUUGCCGUUGCAAUUGUGAUAACUUCCUUUGGAAUUUGUUGCGAUAUUUAAUGGCGCGAUGAUCUUGACCCAUCCUAUGUGCUUCCAUUUUGGAAGGAUAGGGAUUCAUGGGUGGGUACAAAUGGCAGUCUGACAAGU
rnacentral:snoRNA from 1 species